CAGCCGCCACGGGAACACGGAGGGGGCUAGCGUUGUUCGGAAUUACUGGGCGUAAAGCGCACGUAGGCGGCUUGGUAAGUUAGAGGUGAAAGCCCGGAGCUCAACUCCGGAAUUGCCUUUAAGACUGCCGAGCUAGUAGGUGAGAGAGGUAAGUGGAAUUCCGAGUGUAGAGGUGAAAUUCGUAGAUAUUCGGAAGAACACCAGUGGCGAAGGCGGCUUACUGGCUCAUUCUAGACGCUGAGGUGCGAAAGCGUGGGGAGCAAACAGGAUUAGAUACCCCAGUAGUCCCUGUCUCUUAUAC
rnacentral:rRNA from 1 species